rnacentral:rRNA from 1 species
CCUAUGGGGGGCAGCAGUGGGGAAUAUUGGACAAUGGGCGAAAGCCUGAUCCAGCCAUGCCGCGUGUGUGAAGAAGGCCUUCGGGUUGUAAAGCACUUUCAGUGGGGAAGAAAGCCUUGGGGCUAAUACCCUCGAGGAAGGACAUCACCCACAGAAGAAGCACCGGCUAACUCCGUGCCAGCAGCCGCGGUAAUACGGAGGGUGCGAGCGUUAAUCGGAAUUACUGGGCGUAAAGCGCGCGUAGGCGGUCUGAUAAGCCGGUUGUGAAAGCCCCGGGCUCAACCUGGGAACGGCAUCCGGAACUGUCAGGCUAGAGUGCAGGAGAGGAAGGUAGAAUUCCCGGUGUAGCGGUGAAAUGCGUAGAGAUCGGGAGGAAUACCAGUGGCGAAGGCGGCCUUCUGGACUGACACUGACGCUGAGGUGCGAAAGCGUGGGUAGCAAACAGGAUUAGAUACCCUGGUAGUC